UACGGAGGGUGCAAGCGUUAAUCGGAAUUACUGGGCGUAAAGGGUGCGUAGGUGGUUCGCUAAGUCCGUUGUGAAAGCCCCCGAGCUCAACUUGGGAAUUGCAGUGGAUACUGGCGAGCUAGAGUGCGGUAGAGGAAGGUGGAAUUCCCGGUGUAGCGGUGAAAUGCGUAGAGAUCGGGAGGAACACCAGUGGCGAAGGCGGGUCUCUGGACAGUUCCUGACGCUGAGGCACGAAAGCGUGGGGGAGCGAUCCGG
rnacentral:rRNA from 1 species